CGUGAAGUUGGAAUCGCUAGUAAUCGCGGAUCAGCAUGCCGCGGUGAGUACGUUCCCGGGCCUUGUACACACCGCCCGUCACACCAUGAGAGUCGGGAACACCCGAAGUCCGUAGCCUAACCGCAAGGGGGGCGCGGCCGAAGGUGGGUUCGAUAAUUGGGGUGAAGUCGUAACAAGGUAUC
rnacentral:rRNA from 1 species